rnacentral:tRNA from 1 species
CCCGUCGUGGCCCAGCGGUUAGGGCACUGCUCUGAUAAGGCAGCGAUCGGUGGUUCGAAUCCACCCGACGGGAC